AACAUCUGAGGUUAAUUCACUAAAUGAAGCGUUGGAUUUUCUUUCGUGGAAGCAAGAAAAAUUGUUUGGAUGAUGUUAGAAAAGGCUAGGCCGGCUCAGAGAACAUUCCCCGGGGCUCCACCACCGCACGAAGCUCUACUGGACAUUUAGGGCUGUGCUGGAUGAAUAAACAAUAGGGGAAAAACGCCUUCCUUCCCGCAUUGCCUUUUCCAUGUUGAGUGACCUCUCAUCCAUUAUUCUGCGAGCCUUGCAAGGACACGUCGGGAAUGAACCAAGGGGACUAUUUCCUUUUGCCACCAGGCCCGAGCCCAGGGUGAAGGGGGAUCUUCUAAAGGACCCAGCCCUACACUGCCGACUCCAGGACCCAAGCCCACAAUGCAGUAUGAUCCUGUUUAAAGAACCACCACAGGAAGCCCAAUUCUGACUUAACCAGAAAACUGAACACAGAGAGCAGACCACAGUCCUACGGCUCUUAGGAAGAGACGUCUGCUGUCCAAGAUUAAGGUGUUUGUAAGCUGUUUGCACAGCCUGGGAAGACAUGAGGCUGGGCACCGGCUGGGGAAGGCUUGGGACAGCAGCCCUCCUGGCCUGAAGUUAAACUUUGGCUAUGAGGAGAUGAGUCUGGCAGGUGCACAGGGAGUUCCCCCUCCAGACGGGGUGGCGAGGACCCAAGAGAAGAGAGGAGAGAAAGGGGUCGGAAUUUGUUUUCCAAGAGUUCCCAGAACCUCACUUUUCCAGCAUGCCAUCAGUGGUACCAGACAAGAGAUUCACAAGGAAAAAGAAAAUUUCAACAGAGCAGCAACUGUCAAGUUUCCAGGACAAUCUCCACCUUCAUAGCCUUUGCUAUCAUGCAGAACCCGUGCCCAGAAACCUGGCCUUGACUGUGACCACAGCAUACACCAAAGGCACACAGGCACGCUGCCGUCAGGGAAAUGAAGACAGUGCAGUGUGGGGAGGUGUGCAUGAUUGAAGGCAGCUUCCCACAGCUGUGAGCCAGGUAACAAGCUCAGUGAAGGCGUUGUCACGCUUUCAAACGCCUGAAAAGAGGAGCAAAGAGACAACAGAGGAAGAUGUUUUCGGUGUGAUCAAAGGGCAGUCGGAUCACCCCAGGGAGGGAAGUGGUUGGCGCGCCGUGCAUGUGUGGAGGGAAGUGACAGGUGCAAAUACAGGAGGGCACCCCACAUUUCCUUACCAUCCAGAAACCCAUUAAGCAGGAGGCAGCUGGCCAGGGAGUCAGAGGGCUGAAUAGCCCACUGACCUCCAAAAAUUAGCCUCCUUCCAUUUCCAACUCUUAAGGUUCUAUUUGCUUGGCUUAGUUUAUAUCUAGGGAAUCUCCAAGACUCUUUCAAGAAGAGACUUUUGCAUCCCUGUUAUCUAGAAAAAGGGUGAUGUUUUCUGUCCACUCUCCCUGAAAUGCCAUCUCAGACAUUAAGUUAACUGUAGCAAAGGAACUUUCUAAAUCCUUAUCAAAGGACUAUGGUCACCUGAAUGAAACUGUCUGGGCAUUCAGGAGCAAAUGACACAUGUAGUCUUAGGAAAUUGUUUUGCAAGGAAUACAGGUUUAUAUUAAAGCUCUGAAGCAAGUACAAUAAACGCUCCACAUCAUCUUAGAGAAUGCUUGCAAGGAUGCAUUUCAUUGACAUAUUUAGAGCAAAUUAGUCUAUUUGACAUUGUUUCUCCAAAUUGCAUCAUAUCAUUGCUUCAUUAAGAAUGCUCCAAUUAAGGGAAAGAAAGAAGUUUCUGUAGGGUAGCUAUCUGUACACAUUAGUCUGAGGCUUUCAAAUUAGAGACCAAAUCACAGGUCCCCGUUACCAUGAGAACCAGAGUGUUUCUCCGGCUGUUAAAAUUAUUAACUCGAAGAACAUGCAUCUUCUUAAACUCUGCCUGUUAUUUAUCUACUGUUCCAUGGGCUUGACUGUGCCUAGAGUGAACUCUAUUAAUCAUCAGCUGAAAAAAAGUGCACGGGCUGCAGGAGAGAGCAGCCGUGCCUUUCUUCCUGUCGAGAGCGGCAAGCAAUGGCAAUCCAUUUCCCCAUGUUGCUCCAUCUCUCUUGGAGGGUAGAAGCGAGGGACUGAGAAGCCCUGGAGUGAAGAUAGGCUGGAGAAGCCCGAGAUGAUGCCCAGAGAUGAGCAAGACCAGCUGGCAGUGGCGUUCACACGGUGUGCCACUGCAGGGACAGGCGACACUGAUGAGUGACCAGAGGCCUCUGUCCACUUGCCAGGUGACCCUGAGCUCCGGUCCAACUCCCCAUCUAAAAGUGAAGCCUCGUCACAGUGAAGGCCUAGUCACUUACACUGCAGAGAAUGCACCCACUUCAUCUCCCACGCAGUGUGCACCGUAUCUCCGUUUUACAGAGAAAGAAACCAAGGCUUAGAAAAAUUCUACAACCUGCUCAAGAAGUCAAGCCAGCACAUGGAGAAACCAGGGCCUCCAAGUGAGAUCUUCUGUCUCUAAAAUCCCAUGCUUCCCACACCAAAACUUGCACACAGAGCGCAAGUUUUAUUUGUCAUUGCCAAAACUUGGAGGCAACCAAGGUGUCCUUCAGUAGGGGAAGGGAUGGAUACACUGUGGUCCAUCCUGACAAUGGAAUGUAAUUCAGUGCUAAAAAGAAACGAGCCGUCCAGCAAGCCAUCAAGAGGCAUGGGGGCAGGUGGGGGGGGGGACCUUAAAUACACGCUGCUAAGAAGCCAGUCUGAAAAGACUACAC
rnacentral:lncRNA from 1 species